rnacentral:rRNA from 1 species
GACGGACGCUGGCGGCGUGCUUAACACAUGCAAGUCGAACGAUGAUGCCCAGCUUGCUGGGUGGAUUAGUGGCGAACGGGUGAGUAACACGUGAGUAACCUGCCCCUGACUCUGGGAUAAGCGUUGGAAACGACGUCUAAUACUGGAUGUGAUCACUGGCCGCAUGGUCUGGUGGUGGAAAGAUUUCUUGGUUGGGGAUGGACUCGCGGCCUAUCAGCUUGUUGGUGAGGUAAUGGCUCACCAAGGCGACGACGGGUAGCCGGCCUGAGAGGGUGACCGGCCACACUGGGACUGAGACACGGCCCAGACUCCUGCGGGAGGCAGCAGUGGGGAAUAUUGCACAAUGGGCGCAGGCCUGAUGCAGCAACGCCGCGUGAGGGAUGACGGCCUUCGGGUUGUAAACCUCUUUUAGUAGGGAAGAAGCGAAAGUGACGGUACCUGCAGAAAAAGCACCGGCUAACUACGUGCCAGCCGCCGCGGUAACAC